rnacentral:misc_RNA from 1 species
AGUGGAGCCAAAGCAGCAAGGUGGUCUGGUCCUGACAGUGUAUGUAAGCAACCAGCAAGGAAACCAGUCCACGCACUACUUAAUAAUUCAGUACGCAACAGUUUUGCCCCAACUGCAGCAGCAGCAACAGGACCCCCAGUCUUUGCAGCAGUUUGAAAGGUUGCAAAUGCUGGUGAAGCAAAAACUGGGUGGAUUAAGAACAU